GGUACGCACUACUGUCGGCCGGCUCGCGUGCCGGUUUUCCCGUCGUGGCCUUCGCCGGUCGCGGCGGGUGGCUGGCGAGUUUACUUUGAGAAAAUCAGAGUGCUCAACACAGGCCUCUAGCUUGAAUGAUUGUGCAUGGAAUAAUGGAAAAGGAUCACGGUCCUCUUUUAUUGGUUUUGUGGACUGAGAUAAUGGUUAACAGGGACAAACGGGGGCAUUCGUAUCGCUGCGUGAGAGGUGAAAUUCUUGGACCGUAGCGAGACGCCCGACUGCAAAAGCAUUUGCCAAGAAUGUCUUCAUUAAUCAAGAACGAAAGUCAGAGGUUCGAAGGCGAUCAGAUACCGCCCUAGUUCUGACCGUAAACGAUGCCAACUAGCGAUUCGCCGGUGGAUUUCACGCCCCGGUGAGUAGCUUCCCGGAAACGAAAGUCUUCCGGUUCCGGGGGAAGUAUGGUUGCAAAGCUGAAACUUAAAGGAAUUGACGGAAGGGCACCCCCCGGAGUGGAGCCUGCGGCUUAAUUUGACUCAACACGGGGAAACUCUCCCGGCCCGGACACCGUGAGGAUUGACAGAUUGAGAGCUCUUUCAUGAUUCGGUGGUUGGUGGUGCAUGGCCGUUCUUAGUUCGUGGAUCGAUUUGUCUGGUUUAUUCCGAUAACGAGCGAGACUCUAGCCUCCUAAAUAGCCGCGAUAUUAUUUCGUUGUGUCGCGCGCUUCUUAGAGGGAUUCGCGG
rnacentral:rRNA from 1 species